rnacentral:rRNA from 1 species
AUACGUAGGGUGCGAGCGUUGUCCGGAAUUACUGGGCGUAAAGAGCUCGUAAGUGGUUUGUCGCGUCGUCUGUGAAAUUCCGGGGCUUGACUCCGGGCGUGCAGGCGAUACGGGCAUAACUUGAGUACUGUAGGGGAGACUGGAAUUCCUGGUGUAGCGGUGAAAUGCGCAGAUAUCAGGAGGAACACCGGUGGCGAAGGCGGGUCUCUGGGCAGUAACUGACGCUGAGGAGCGAAAGCAUGGGUAGCGAACAGGAUUAGAUACCCUAGUAGUCCAUGCCGUAAACGGUGGGCGCUAGGUGUAGGGGUCUUCCACGACUUCUGUGCCGUAGCUAACGCAUUAAGCGCCCCGCCUGGGGAGUACGGCCGCAAGGCUAAAACUCAAAGGAAUUGACGGGG